rnacentral:misc_RNA from 1 species
UUGUUCCUUAUUUCUGGAAGACUUUGAAAUUCACAAACGUGAAUUGGUAGAUUAUUGGAUUUGUGAGAAUUUUGGUGAUCGCAAUGAGUCAUAUUCUAUAAUCUGUUCACUUGUUGGGGCAUGUUUAUUGGAANNNGAGCAAGGCGGACAUGUGAAAAUGCAUGAUGUGAUUCGUGACAUGGCUCUGUGGAUAGCAUGUAAAUAUGAAAAAGAAAAGCACAAGUUUUUUGUGGAAGCGGGUG